GGGGCUGACUUGGAUUUCGACAGAUUUCUUGUCGCACAGAUAGCAUGCCAAGUGCUACUUGUAAAACAGCAACAAAAAUAACUGUAAACAACACAGAUUACGCUCCAGCUUACGCUAAAGCUGCGUGAGUUAAUCUCCUUUUGGAGCUGGACUGAUUAGAAUUUCUAGCGUUUUAAUCACUCCAUAACCUUAAGCUAGACGCUUUUAAAAGGUGGUUCGCCUUUUAAACUAAGAAACAAGAACUCUUGAAACUAUCUCAAGGUUUUAGAAAGUUGGACCAGAGCUAGUUUUAAGGCUAAAAAACUAACCAAUUUUCUAAGCAUUGUAGAAGUUUGUGUUUAGGACAAGAUUUUUGGACUGGGGUUCGAUUCCCCACAGCUCCACCA
rnacentral:tmRNA from 1 species